rnacentral:misc_RNA from 1 species
GAUGAAGAACGCAGCGAAAUGCGAUAAGUAAUGUGAAUUGCAGAAUUCAGUGAAUCAUCGAGUCUUUGAACGCACAUUGCGCCCCCUGGUAUUCCGGGGGGCAUGCCUGUCCGAGCGUCAUUGCUGCCCUCAAGCACGGCUUGUGUGUUGGGCCCCGCCCCCCGGCUCCCGGGGGGCGGGCCCGAAAGGCAGCGGCGGCACCGCGUCCGGUCCUCGAGCGUAUGGGGCUUCGUCACCCGCUCCGUAGGCCCGGCCGGCGCCCGCCGGCGACCCCCCUCAAUCUUUUCAGGUUGACCUCGGAUCAGGUAGGGAUACCCGCUGAACUUAAGCAUAUCAAUAAGCGGAGG